rnacentral:rRNA from 1 species
AAUCAACGCUGGCGGCGUGCCUCAGACAUGCAAGUCGAACGAUUAAAGCUCUCUUCGGAGAGUGCAUAGAGUGGCGCACGGGUGAGUAACACGUAAGUAAUCUACCCUCGAGUGGGGAAUAACGUCCGGAAACGGGCGCUAAUACCGCAUAAUGCAGCGGCAUCAUAAGAUGACAGUUGUUAAAGAUUUAUCGCUUGAGGAGGAGCUUGCGGCAGAUUAGCUAGUUGGUAAGGUAACGGCUUACCAAGGCUACGAUCUGUAACCGGUCUUAGAGGACGGUCGGUCACACUGACACUGAAUAACGGGUCAGACUCCUACGGGAGGCAGCAGUCGGGAAUUUUGGGCAAUGGGCGAAAGCCUGACCCAGCAACGCCGCGUGAAGGAUGAAGUAUUUCGGUAUGUAAACUUCGAAAGAAUAGGAAGAAUUAAUGACGGUACUAUUUAUAAGGUCCGGCUAACUACGUGCCAGCCGCCGCGGUAAUAC